rnacentral:rRNA from 1 species
AUUGAACGCUGGCGGCAGGCCUAACACAUGCAAGUCGAACGGUAACAGGAAGCAGCUUGCUGCUUUGCUGACGAGUGGCGGACGGGUGAGUAAUGUCUGGGAAACUGCCUGAUGGAGGGGGAUAACUACUGGAAACGGUAGCUAAUACCGCAUAAUGUCGCAAGACCAAAGAGGGGGACCUUCGGGCCUCUUGCCAUCGGAUGUGCCCAGAUGGGAUUAGCUAGUAGGUGGGGUAAAGGCUCACCUAGGCGACGAUCCCUAGCUGGUCUGAGAGGAUGACCAGCCACACUGGAACUGAGACACGGUCCAGACUCCUACGGGAGGCAGCAGUGGGGAAUAUUGGACAAUGGGCGCAAGCCUGAUGCAGCCAUGCCGCGUGUAUGAAGAAGGCCUUCGGGUUGUAAAGUACUUUCAGCGGGGAGGAAGGGAGUAAAGUUAAUACCUUUGCUCAUUGACGUUACCCGCAGAAGAAGCACCGGCUAACUCCGUG